rnacentral:rRNA from 1 species
UACGUAGGGGCAAGCGUUGUCCGGAUUUAUUGGGCGUAAAGCGCGUGUAGGCGGCCAGGUAGGUCCGUUGUGAAAACUCGAGGCUCAACCUCGAGACGUCGGCGGAAACCCUCUGGCUAGAGUCCGGAAGAGGAGAGUGGAAUUCCUGGUGUAGCGGUGAAAUGCGCAGAUAUCAGGAAGAACACCCGUGGCGAAGGCGGCUCUCUGGGACGGUACUGACGCUGAGACGCGAAAGCGUGGGGAGCAAACAGG